AUCUCUGAUCAUAAAACCUAGUGAACCGCAAGCAAGCUGGUAUUUGUGUUACAAAACCACCUGGGGAGGCUGGCCUCACUUGGCACUUGCCUUGACUCCUGAGAAGAGGUUGAACCAAGAAAAUGGAAAACUAUAGUAAUGUGUUGGCUCAGCAAAAGCCUGAGACCCAAGGUUCAAGAAAAAGUAUUCACAAGAGUCAUUCAGAACAGGACUUUCCACAUGGCAAGUUCUCAAUGAAUGGCUCCCCAUUUCCCUUGUGUGGAUCAGAGUCCUGGAAAACAAAUCUUAGCAUGUAGGUGGUCAGGAAAAGGACUCUAGAUAUCAUCCCAACUCAUCAAAUUGAGAGGGAACACGAUGAGGAUGGUACAAUUACCAUUUAAGAGGAAACUUCAAGUAUGCCUCCAUAAAGCUACCCAAAAAUACAUAAAUGGAGAUUCCAGUGUUGGAGUGUCUACUACUGAUCACAGGAUCCAUGCUGCCAUCACUUCUUGCCUGGAAAAUGACAAUGGCCAUCCUCUCUUUGGGGCCUUCUUCAAUUCAUCUUUAACUCUAUAGUUGGAAUGAUUUAUCUUAGUGAGCAAGUUGAUUAUUUCACUCCUUUGCCAAAGCUGUGCAGUAGCUCCUGGUUACUUAAAAAUAACAUCUAACUUCUUGUCUGAGACUUUAACUGUUCUUCCCAACUCCAAGAUAAAUCCUUGGCACUUCCUGCUUUACUCCCAGUAUUAAACAGUGUUCUCAUCAAUGAGACAUAAUACCCAACAGUCAUAGUUAAAGGAGAAGUUUAAUUUACUCGUGGUUUUUGUCCAUGAUAGGCUCACUUCAAGCAGAGACAUUAUGGUGAAUGGGCACAGUGGAACAAAACUGCUUAGUUCAUAGUGGUCAGGAAGCAAAGUAGGGAAAGAAUGUCAGACAGAAAUGGGCUAGGGACCAUAUAUAGUAGCUAUGACCUACCCAGACACACCCAAAAUUGUAUUUAACUAAUCUGCUAGGUGUUUCUUAAACCACUGAAGUUUACAUAUCAGAAUUAAUGGUCACAAUCCAUUCCUUGUCAACUUCACACCCAAAUAAAGUUUCUUAAUCCAUACUUAAUCUUCAAAUAAAGACAAAUUCAUAAUUUCACCUAAUAUAAUACAACUAUUCCAUGUACAACUGGAAAUGGAAUAAUCCCUUCCCCAAAGUUUCGUAAGUUGUAGUGUUUUUUUUUUCAAAAGUCCAAAUAAAUCCAAGUCUUUUCUGAGACUUAAGGCACACUCUUAGCUGUGAAACUCUGUAAAGAUUUUUUAAAAAAGUAACAUAGUCCCAAGGAACAAUAGCACAUGGUAAAAUUCCCAUUCCAAAAAAGAGCAAUGGGGAAAGAAUCAUUAAAACAAGAUAAAAAACCACCAGGCCAAACAUUAAUCCUGUAGAUCCAUGUCCAGCUGCCAGAGCACAUUAUGAUAAAAUGUAAGGUUCAAAAGGCAUGGGUAGUCCCACUCCUUUAGCCUCACCAGUUGCAGACCACAAUGCCUCUUUCUUGGGAGGGCUUCCACUCAUGGCUUUCAGCUUUCCUUGGCUGAUGGUCCAAAUCCAGACAGCUUGAACUUCCUGUUGUCU